UUUAUGGAGAGUUUGAUCCUGGCUCAGGAUGAACGCUGGCGGCGUGCCUAAUACAUGCAAGUCGAGCGAACGGACGAGAAGCUUGCUUCUCUGAUGUUAGCGGCGGACGGGUGAGUAACACGUGGAUAACCUACCUAUAAGACUGGGAUAACUUCGGGAAACCGGAGCUAAUACCGGAUGAUAUUUUGAACCGCAUGGUUCAAAAGUGAAAGACGGUCUUGCUGUCACUUAUAGAUGGAUCCGCGCUGCAUUAGCUAGUUGGUAAGGUAACGGCUUACCAAGGCAACGAUGCAUAGCCGACCUGAGAGGGUGAUCGGCCACACUGGAACUGAGACACGGUCCAGACUCCUACGGGGGGCAGCAGUAGGGAAUCUUCCGCAAUGGGCGAAAGCCUGACGGAGCAACGCCGCGUGAGUGAUGAAGGUCUUCGGAUCGUAAAACUCUGUUAUUAGGGAAGAACAUAUGUGUAAGUAACUGUGCACAUCUUGACGGUACCUAAUCAGAAAGCCACGGCUAACUACGUGCCAGCAGCCGCGGUAAUACGUAGGUGGCAAGCGUUAUCCGGAAUUAUUGGGCGUAAAGCGCGCGUAGGCGGUUUUUUAAGUCUGAUGUGAAAGCCCACGGCUCAACCGUGGAGGGUCAUUGGAAACUGGAAAACUUGAGUGCAGAAGAGGAAAGUGGAAUUCCAUGUGUAGCGGUGAAAUGCGCAGAGAUAUGGAGGAACACCAGUGGCGAAGGCGACUUUCUGGUCUGUAACUGACGCUGAUGUGCGAAAGCGUGGGGAUCAAACAGGAUUAGAUACCCUGGUAGUCCACGCCGUAAACGAUGAGUGCUAAGUGUUAGGGGGUUUCCGCCCCUUAGUGCUGCAGCUAACGCAUUAAGCACUCCGCCUGGGGAGUACGACCGCAAGGUUGAAACUCAAAGGAAUUGACGGGGACCCGCACAAGCGGUGGAGCAUGUGGUUUAAUUCGAAGCAACGCGAAGAACCUUACCAAAUCUUGACAUCCUUUGACAACUCUAGAGAUAGAGCCUUCCCCUUCGGGGGACAAAGUGACAGGUGGUGCAUGGUUGUCGUCAGCUCGUGUCGUGAGAUGUUGGGUUAAGUCCCGCAACGAGCGCAACCCUUAAGCUUAGUUGCCAUCAUUAAGUUGGGCACUCUAAGUUGACUGCCGGUGACAAACCGGAGGAAGGUGGGGAUGACGUCAAAUCAUCAUGCCCCUUAUGAUUUGGGCUACACACGUGCUACAAUGGACAAUACAAAGGGCAGCGAAACCGCGAGGUCAAGCAAAUCCCAUAAAGUUGUUCUCAGUUCGGAUUGUAGUCUGCAACUCGACUACAUGAAGCUGGAAUCGCUAGUAAUCGUAGAUCAGCAUGCUACGGUGAAUACGUUCCCGGGUCUUGUACACACCGCCCGUCACACCACGAGAGUUUGUAACACCCGAAGCCGGUGGAGUAACCUUUUAGGAGCUAGCCGUCGAAGGUGGGACAAAUGAUUGGGGUGAAGUCGUAACAAGGUAGCCGUAUCGGAAGGUGCGGCUGGAUCACCUCCUUUCU
rnacentral:rRNA from 1 species